rnacentral:rRNA from 1 species
CGAGCGACAGAUAAGGAGCUAGCUCCUUUGACGUUAGCGGCGGACGGGUGAGUAACACGUGGGUAACCUACCUAUAAGACUGGAAUAACUCCGGGAAACCGGGGCUAAUGCCGGAUAACAUUUAGAACCGCAUGGUUCUAAAGUGAAAGAUGGUUUUGCUAUCACUUAUAGAUGGACCCGCGCCGUAUUAGCUAGUUGGUAAGGUAACGGCUUACCAAGGCAACGAUACGUAGCCGACCUGAGAGGGUGAUCGGCCACACUGGAACUGAGACACGGUCCAGACUCCUACGGGAGGCAGCAGUAGGGAAUCUUCCGCAAUGGGCGAAAGCCUGACGGAGCAACGCCGCGUGAGUGAUGAAGGUCUUCGGAUCGUAAAACUCUGUUAUUAGGGAAGAACAAAUGUG